ACACAAUCUAGAGAUCAGUAGUAAGGAAGCAGAGGAAAAACAUUAGUGCUGAGGAAAAGACCUAUAAUAUAGCUAAGGCCAUAGCUAAUGAUAAAUUGAGAAAUGUUUUGAUAGAUAAGGAUGAAGUGGAUGGUGUAGUGAGUGGUAACUCCAAAAAAAUAUAGUCAAUCUUGAGGAGUGAUUAUUUGACUAGGAACAAGGUGUCAACUCUGU